rnacentral:rRNA from 1 species
UGCCAGACUCCUACGGGAGGCAGCAGUGGGGGAUAUUGCACAAUGGGGGGAACCCUGAUGCAGCGACGCCGCGUGGGUGAAGGAGUGCUUCGGCAUGUAAAGCCCUAUCGGCAGGGAAGAAGCAAGACGGUACCUGACUAAGAAGCCCCGGCUAACUACGUGCCAGCAGCCGCGGUAAUACGUAGGGGGCGAGCGUUAUCCGGAUUCACUGGGUGUAAAGGGAGCGUAGACGGCCAUGCAAGCCAGGGGUGAAAGCCCGGGGCCCAACCCCGGGACUGCCCUUGGAACUGUGUGGCUGGAGUGUCGGAGAGGCAAGUGGAAUUCCUAGUGUAGCGGUGAAAUGCGUAGAUAUUAGGAGGAACACCAGUGGCGAAGGCGGCUUGCUGGACGAUGACUGACGUUGAGGCUCGAAAGCGUGGGGAGCAAACAGGAUUAGAUACCCUCGUA